UACGGAGGGGGCGAGCGUUGUCCGAAGUUACUGGGCGUAAAGCGCGCGUAGGCGGGUUGGUAAGUCCGCUGUGAAAGCCCGGAGCUUAACUCCGGAGGGUCGGUGGAUACUGCCAGUCUUGAAGGUGCUAGGGGGAGAUGGAAUUACCGGUGUAGCGGUGAAAUGCGUAGAUAUCGGUAGGAACACCAGUGGCGAAGGCGACUCUUUGGCCUAUAACUGACGCUGAGGCGCGAAAGCGUGGGGAGCAAACAGG
rnacentral:rRNA from 1 species